rnacentral:rRNA from 1 species
UACGUAGGGUGCAAGCGUUGUCCGGAAUUAUUGGGCGUAAAGAGCUCGUAGGCGGUUUGUCGCGUCUGCUGGGAAAACUCGGGGCUUAACCCCGGGCCUGCAGUGGGUACGGGCAGGCUAGAGUGCGGUAGGGGAGACUGGAAUUCCUGGUGUAGCGGUGAAAUGCGCAGAUAUCAGGAGGAACACCGGUGGCGAAGGCGGGUCUCUGGGCCGAUACUGACGCUGAGGAGCGAAAGCGUGGGGAGCAAACAGG